GACGAACGCUGGCGGCGUGCUUAACACAUGCAAGUCGAACGGAAAGGCCCUGCUUUUGUGGGGUGCUCGAGUGGCGAACGGGUGAGUAACACGUGAGUAACCUGCCCUUGACUUUGGUAUAACUUCAGGAAACUGGGGCUACUACCGUAUAGGAUCUCCUGCUGCAUGGUGGGGGUUGGAACGUUUCGGCGGUUGGGGAUGGACUCGCGGCUUAUCAGCUUGUUGGUGGGGUAGUGGCUUACCAAGGCUUUGACGGGUAGCCGGCCUGAGAGGGUGACCGGCCACAUUGGGACUGAGAUACGGCCCAGACUCCUACGGGAGGCAGCAGUGGGGAAUAUUGCACAAUGGGCGGAAGCCUGAUGCAGAAACGCCGCGUGCGGGAUGACGGCCUUCGGGUUGUAAAACGCUUUAGCCUGUGACGAAGCGUGAGUGACGGUAAUGGGUAAAGAAGCACCGGCUAACUACGUG
rnacentral:rRNA from 1 species